CCUACACAUGCAAGUUGCACGGCGCCAUGCCUCUCGAGGAAUGGCGGAGUGGCGGACGGGUGAGGAACGCGUAAGGACCUGCCCCUGGGAGGGGGAUAACAGCUGGAAACGGUUGCUAAUACCCCAUAUCCUGAGGAGGGAAAGGAGAGAUCCGCCCAGGGAGGGGCUUGCGUCUGAUUAGCUAGUUGGGGGGGUAAUGGCCUCCCAAGGCAACGAUCAGUUGCUGGUCUGAGAGGAUGAUCAGCCACACUGGGACUGAGACACGGCCCAGACUCCUACGGGAGGCAGCAGUGAGGAAUCUUCCGCAAUGGGCGAAAGCCUGACGGGGCAAUGCCGCGUGGAGGAUGAAGGCCCAAUGGGUCGUAAACUUCUUUAGAUCAGAGACGAAGAGAUGACGGUACCUGAAGAACUAAGCAUCGGCUAAACCCCGUGCCAGCAGCCGCGGUAAGACGGGGGAUGCGAGCGUUAUCCGGAAUGAUUGGGCGUAAAGGGUCCGCAGGUGGCCCGGUCAGUCCGCUGUCAAAACCUGGGGCUCAACCCUGGACAGGCGGCGGAGACCACCGGGCUUGAGUCCGGUAGGGGCAGAGGGAAUUCCCGGUGGAGCGGUGAAAUGCGUAGAGAUCGGGAAGAACGCCAAGGGCGAAGGCACUCUGCUAGGCCUGAUUUCGCGACUGACACUCAGGGACGAGAGCCAGGGGAGCGAAUGGGAUUAGA
rnacentral:rRNA from 1 species